UCUCCCGCUUCACCUCCCUGAGCGGGGUGCCUUAUUGAUGUAAGGCAUACCUUGCCCCCGGCCCCCCCUUGCCGGGGGUUUUUCUU
rnacentral:ncRNA from 1 species